rnacentral:rRNA from 1 species
CAGAGGUCCCAAGCGUUGUUCGGAUUCACUGGGCGUAAAGGGUGCGUAGGUGGUGAGGUAAGUCGGAUGUGAAAUCUCGGAGCUCAACUCCGAAAUGGCAUUGGAAACUACCUCGCUAGAGGAUCGGAGGGGAGACUGGAAUUCUCGGUGUAGCAGUGAAAUGCGUAGAUAUCGAGAGGAACACCAGUGGCGAAGGCGAGUCUCUGGACGAUUCCUGACGCUGAGGCACGAAAGCCAGGGGAGCAAACGGGAUUAGAUACCCCGGUAGUCCUGGCCGUAAACGGUGCGCAUUUGCUGUGAGCGGAAUCGACCCCGUUCGUGGCGUAGCCAACGCGUUAAAUGCGCCGCCUGGGAAGUACGGUCGCAAGAUUA